GCGAACGCUGGCGGCAGGCCUAACACAUGCAAGUCGAACGAACCUUUCGGGGUUAGUGGCGGACGGGUGAGUAACACGUGGGAACGUGCCUUUAGGUUCGGAAUAACUCAGGGAAACUUUUGCUAAUACCGAAUGUGCCCUUCGGGGGAAAGAUUUAUCGCCUUUAGAGCGGCCCGCGUCUGAUUAGCUAGUUGGUUGAGGUAAUGGCUCACCAAGGCGACGAUCAGUAGCUGGUCUGAGAGGAUGAUCAGCCACAUUGGGACUGAGACACGGCCCAAACUCCUACGGGAGGCAGCAGUGGGGAAUCUUGCGCAAUGGGCGAAAGCCUGACGCAGCCAUGCCGCGUGAAUGAUGAAGGUCUUAGGAUUGUAAAAUUCUUUCACCGGGGACGAUAAUGACGGUACCCGGAGAAGAAGCCCCGGCUAACUUCGUG
rnacentral:rRNA from 1 species